CACCCUUGACACCAAUACCUUGUCACCAAACAAUUCAGCAAUGUGUGCCACAAGAUAAGUUAAUAUAAGUUGCAAAAAAAAAUACAACAAUUCAUUGCAGGUAAUGUUGCAACGGCAAGAAGGAAUUACAUAUGAAAGGGCGUUACUCCUUAGAUAAAAGCUUCCGCACGAUAGUUUUCGUGGUACAAUUAGGCGGAAUAAAUCAUUCUGGAAUAAGAUUCAGCUGCUUUCAAAUGAUGCCCCUAGUGUCACAGCUGUAGAUAAGAAGCAACUAUCAACAUUCAUGCACAACAACACAAUUAAAAAUAGAUAUGCGCCUAAAUUCAGAAAGGGAAGAAAGGAAUAAAACCCAUCAAAAAUCAGAAAUAAUGAAAUUUAUAAGAGAAGCCUAUAAUGAACCAUAGGGAAAACGACAGAAGGAAAGAAAACGGAUCAAAAUUGGCAAAGGUAAAGUCAGGGCUCAAAUAAAGCUUGAUUGAAAAUGGCUUUACAGUUUGUUCUCCAAAGAGCACUGGAGUUUAUUUCACCCUCAAUAAGCACUUCAAAGAACCCAUUUACCUUCAAAUGCCAUCUUACCUAUCGAAAAUCAAAAACUAUUGUAUGUACCAAAUAUGCAUGUGUACCGUAUGUAUCUAUUUUCAACAUCAAAAUAUAUCACAAGCAUCUAGAAACUAACCGAUAAAAUAUGAAAAAUUAAAUUAAAAAAGUUCUUUAACAACAGAAAAAGGUAAAACUUUGCAGAACUCAUAAAUACAACAUACCAAAUAGAAGCCAAAAUAUUACCAGUAAACUUAGUGAUAUGAGAGGCCCAGUUUCUGCUGCCUCUAUGGUUGUUUGAUGAUGUGUUGGAAUGGUGAGAUAGAAAUGGUGAUGUGAAACGAGGUGGAAGUCAGUUGCACAAAUAGGUGUCAUCAAGAGAGAAGUAAACGAGUUGCAAGUGGAAAUAUCAUAAAUAUCCCUAAAGAAUUAAGUUCCGAAAAUCCUUGAGCAGAUGGACAUGAAAAAAUAUGCAACAAACAGUGAAAGAUAACUGAAGUUCUAUUACAAAUUAAUGAUUGAAGAGAAACACCGAGAUACAUGCAUAUUUCAAAAAUAUAACCACUGAACUCAGCUUACAACGGAGAUACAUGUAUAUUUACACUUCAAAAAAACAUCAGCCGGAACAUAUUUAUAAAAUAAAAAGAAAGAACAGUGUACCAGGCAGCUGAAAGAUUAACAACACACUCGUUUUUUCGUUUUUUCAAAACCCAGGUAAAAUUUCUACUUAGAUAGAGCUCAGAAGAGAUUUUGAUUUCGGAGGUUGUUUUUGGGCGGGAAGAUAUUUGCAGGGAAGAUGUGGAAGAGUGAUUACCGAAAUUGGAAAAGUGAACAGCUAAGGGAAAAGGGAGA
rnacentral:lncRNA from 1 species